ACACACACAUUGUGGGAUUCGUACACACAUUGUGGGAUUCGUAAACACAUAGCACGCGAAACACACACACAUCGUGGGAUUCGUACACACAUAGCACGCGAACCACACACAUUGUGGGAUUCGUAAACACAUAGCACGCGAAACACACACACAUCGUGGGAUUCGUAAACACAUAGCACGCGAAACACAAACACAUUCACCAAAUGUGUGUGUGAAUUGUUUUACGCGCAUUUGUAACGUGCUUCCAAUUACAAAUUCCCACUUACGAAUACAAAUUCCCACUUACGAAUGUGUGGAUCGUUUUGAUACCCGUCAUGCGCAACUGAGAAGAACACAUGCAUUUUUUUAACUGGAGCCCGUCUUCAGCCAAUCAGACGUCUUCUUCUUAAACAGCCAAUCACAAGGGCUGGGCUGUUUCGUUACGUCACUGCUGUGCGCCUUCAAGUCCGGCUGGAGAUUCCUUUUAGACUACGACGCAGUUCAUGCGGUUGUCGUGCGGUUGGUGUACAACAUGGAGAAGAGGUUCCAGGAGAUUUUCAAUUUUAUGUCUAGGGGUGAAUUCCCUAAUUUAUAGUGAAUCUCAGAAAUGUGCUUUAAGAAGAUAUAUGCAGAAGCUCAAACUGAAGGUCCCAAACAGAAGCACGAUCACUGUUUAAUGAAGUACACUCGGCUUCAAUUGGUGCACACACAGGCACUGUUAAAACCAGAUCCUCAAUGUACUCCAGAAAUUAUUGGGAUGGCAUGACGGUGGACAUUGACUGAUGGGUCUCUGAAUGCGACGGAUGUCAGAGGACUGGUAACUCUUUGGCUGUGUGUGACACAGCCAUUACAAAGCAUUAAGGUGUCUGCUGUUUGGGAGUUGGUUGGGAUAGACCUGACUGGGCCUCUCCCAAAAACCAAGGAUGGCUUUCAGUACAUUCUUACUGCCACCGAUUAUUUUUCCAAACACAGAUGCCCCCAAAGAAUCCUGUCCGACCAAGGAAGAGAAUUUGUCAAUUAGGAGUGUUACAGCUGCAUAUCAUCCUAAGACGAAUGGGCUGGAUGAGAGGACAAAUAGCAAACAUAAAACGGCAAGUUGUUGUUGGUGUUCUAAAAUGUAUAUCUAAUUGUACCCUUCUACUUCGUACAGCUCUUACAAAAUUGGUGAACGACCGACAGGAUUUGUUUGGUGGUUUGGCCUAUUCAGUAGAUAAUUUUGACCGGAUGGUCAUCUGGUCAAGUGCCGUAAAUAAUAACUUUUUUGAUUUAACAAUGUUGUGUUUUCAGUUAAAUUACUGUGGGCUGCAGAGGAUCAAGGCAAGGUGGAGGCUGUCGUUGGACCGUAUAAAUUAUACGACACAUCUUUUCAUACGCUAAAAGGCAACGGCUGGCUGUCUGAUGAAGUCAGUGGGAGCAAUAAGUGUUUAGCAAAUAACAAAGAUUCUUGCCUUUUGCCAAUUUUUUUAUUUUGCUAUGCAAGUAUUUGAUGCAUACAUGCAUAUCCUCAUUGAAAGGCAGCAGCCAAGUGCUGGAUAUAGUUUUUCUCAAUGCAUUUAUUUUUUGCCGGAGUAUAGUUGUAAUGUUGUUACCCCUUUUUUUAACAGGAGCCCAUUCACCAACUCUCUGCUGUGGUAGCUGGGAGUCUGCUUUUGGGAAAAUUUCAGCCUGUUAGAAAGGUAAUCCAUUUCAUGCCAAUAUUUAGCUAUAUUAUUUUAACGCCAGUAACCCAAAAUAACAAUAAUUUGGUAUUGUAUGUUCUUCAGAGGAAAUUCCCUGUUGAAAAAAAAAGUGUAUUUGUCCUGUCCUGUCCUGUAUGCGCUCAUUGGAUUUUAGUGGUUAGUGGGUUUCUUAUAUUUUCUUAAGACCUACCGAUUCUGGAAUGUAUUAUAUAUAGCUAUUAAUUUAGCUGAUGCCAUACAGAAGUUAAAUUUCAUUAGUAAGUUAACUACAUAAAUCUGUCAUUGUGCAGAAUUACACAAAGGAACUAACCUUUUAUAGAUUGUCCACAUUUCUAAGAGAACACUGGUGAUCAACGAUCCCUUGAGUAACGAGGACAAAUAUGAGCAAAAUCUUGCGGAAUUGGAGGAACUUCUUGAGGUUGGCGGGCCGUGAGUUCCAAAUAGAAACUUGGACUACCAAAACUGUGGCCCAUAACAAGCAGCAGAACAACAGUAGCUGUGGGGUUUUCACAUUAAAGUUUGCGGAAGAGUAUAUGGCCAAUGGAGAUCUCAGGCACAACCAGACCCACCUUCCCGAAGUUCUGAAGGCUCGAGGAGAUCUAGCCUGUGCCCUCCUACAGGCUGGGAGUCUGAGAUGUCUAUUUAAAUAAAAAAAAUGUCUCAAAACUUACUUGGUCUCCU